rnacentral:tRNA from 1 species
UGGCUCAGUGGUCAAGAGCACUGGAUGCUCUUCCAGAGGACCUGGGUUCAAUUCCCAA